AGCCUGUGGUUUCAUCCUGUGUUCUCAGAGAAGAGGCACCAGGCUGGAAAGACAUUUCUUUGGGCAGACAGGCCCAGAGUAUAGGGCCCAGGUUCCCAGAGCAAGCGUCCCAGGGCCCCGGCGGUCGUAACUACCGCUGCAUGGGCUCUGAUGCUCAGCCGCGGAAAAGCAAGUAACCGGGAAUGAAGGAAGUGGGGUCAGUCCCAACCCUGCCACGUGCGGGUCUCGAGACGGUGGACAAGUGGCUGGACUCCACUGGGCCUGGGCUGUCACUGGUACACAGAGGGCACUGGGCUAGAACUGCGUUCCUCCCACCAGAGGCUCCACACCAUCUCCGGGCCCCUCCCCAGAGCCUCUCAACCAAAAUCAGUGUCUUCAAAGUUCAAGUUGAUUCUGAAGCUCAGCCAGGGAGCUGCAGGAGGAGAGCGGUCUGACAGUGGACGCCCUGCACAAGGUGGGCCAGAUCGUGUUUGAGUUCGUGGGCGAGCCUGAGCUCAUGGACGUGCAUGUCUUCUGCACAGACAGCAUCCAGGGGACCCCCGUGGAGAGCGACGAAAUGCGCCCAUGCUGGUUCCAGCUGGAUCAGAUCCCCUUCAAGGACAUGUGGCCCGACGACAGCUACUGGUUUCCACUCCUGCUUCAGAAGAAGAAAUUCCACGGGUACUUCAAGUUCCAGGGUCAGGACACCAUCCUGGACUACACACUCCGCGAGGUGGACACGGUCUAGCGGGAGCCCAGGGCAGCCCCUGGGCAGGAGACGUGGCUGCUGAACAGCCGCAAACCAUCUUCACCUGGGGGCAUUGAGUGGCGCAGAGCCGGGUUUCAUCUGGAAUUAACUGGAUGGAAGGGAAAAUAAAGCUAUCUAGCGGUGG
rnacentral:lncRNA from 10 species